rnacentral:tRNA from 3 species
GGCAGUAUAGCUCAGCUGGUAGAGCGAAGGUGUACAUACGUGGUGAACACGUAUGCAGGUCUUUUGUCACAAGUUCGACUCUUGUUGCUGCCGCAA